UGCCCAGGAGAUCCUCAAAGAAGAAGGCUCCCAAGUCAAAAACAAAUUAAGAGAUAGGUGCAAUUUUGUUGCAUGUUGUCACAGUACCAUAGUAUGAGAAAUUUUCUUGUAAGCUUUGAGUUUUUGCAGCUUUACUUACAUUUACCUCUUGUUCUAUUUUGGUUGAACUUUUCCAACCUUUUUUUAGCAUUUAUCUUUUUUUUUCCUUUUGCUUGCAAUUUUAAGCUUGAGAAUUAUUUAGAUAUCAACAACGCUACAAGAGGAAGAUGUUGAUACUAGCCAUUGGUUCUCUUGCAUUCAAGCCCUCAAUUUACAGCAGUUACACUAUUUCAAUGUGAUUGGAGUUCUGCACAAGUUUUUAAUAUGGUGUGUCUUCUUUUGUGCUUGACCAAUUUUUCAUAUAACUUGAAAGUCACGACCUAGUAGGAUGGUGACAUGUGUUAUUGAUUUUAAAAAGGAAAAAAAUAGAAAUUUUUACAUUCGUAUACACUGUAUGAAACUAUAAUAUUACCCUCCCUACUUAAGUUUUACUAUAAUUACAUUUUAU
rnacentral:lncRNA from 1 species